rnacentral:lncRNA from 1 species
AGUGAGUUUUUGUAAAAGGGUGAAAAUAUGAAAAGAAACAAGAAAAAGAAAUCACCCUUGAAACCAUAGAGCAAAAAAAAAAUGCUCAUGGUUGUGUGGAUGUAAAAAGAAAAAAAAAUAGGGAUCAAAGAAAGGGAAAUUGUGUAGAGUUGAAUGUUUGGGAAUGCUCCCUUAGGAUAGGCAACUUUGUAAAUUCUCUUA